rnacentral:rRNA from 1 species
UUGACCUCGGAUCAGGUAGGAAUCCCCAA